GGAAAGUGGCUCAGUGGUAGAGUGCUUGCCUUGCAUGCAUGAGGCCCUGGGUUCGAUUCCUCAGUACCA
rnacentral:tRNA from 1 species